UUCCCCUAGUAACUGCGAGUGAAGCGGGAAAAGCUCAAAUUUAAAAUCUGGCGGUCUUUGGCCGUCCGAGUUGUAGUCUGGAGAAGUGCUUUCCGCGCUGGACCGUGUAUAAGUCUCUUGGAACAGAGCGUCAUAGAGGGUGAGAAUCCCGUCUUUGACACGGACUACCAGUGCUUUGUGAUGCGCUCUCAAAGAGUCGAGUUGUUUGGGAAUGCAGCUCAAAAUGGGUGGUGAAUUCCAUCUAAAGCUAAAUAUUGGCGAGAGACCGAUAGCGAACAAGUACCGUGAGGGAAAGAUGAAAAGCACUUUGGAAAGAGAGUUAAACAGUAUGUGAAAUUGCUGAAAGGGAAACGCUUGAAGUCAGUCGCGUUGUCCGGAACUCAGCCUUGCUUUUGCUUGGUGCACUUUCCGGAUGACGGGUCAGCAUCGAUUUUGACCGUCGGAAAAGGGCUGGAGUAAUGUGGCACCUCCGGGUGUGUUAUAGACUCUGGUCGCAUACGGCGGUUGGGAUCGAGGAACGCAGCGCGCCGCAAGGCAGGGGUUCGCCCACUUUCGCGCUUAGGAUGCUGGCAUAAUGGCUUUAAACGACCCGUCUUGAAACACGGACCAAGGAGUCUAACAUACCUGCGAGUGUUUGGGUGGAAAACCCGAGCGCGUAAUGAAAGUGAAAGUUGAGACUCCUGUCGUGGGAGGCAUCGACGCCCGGACCUGACGUUCUCUGACGGAUCCGCGGUAGAGCAUGUAUGUUGGGACCCGAAAGAUGGUGAACUAUGCCUGAAUAGGGUGAAGCCAGAGGAAACUCUGGUGGAGGCUCGUAGCGAUUCUGACGUGCAAAUCGAUCGUCAAAUUUGGGUAUAGGGGCGAAAGACU
rnacentral:rRNA from 1 species